GACGAACGCUGGCGGCGUGCUUAACACAUGCAAGUCGAACGGAAAGGCCCUGCUUUUGUGGGGUGCUCGAGUGGCGAACGGGUGAGUAACACGUGAGUAACCUGCCCUUGACUUUGGGAUAACUUCAGGAAACUGGGGCUAAUACCGGAUAGGAGCUCCUGCUGCAUGGUGGGGGUUGGAAAGUUUCGGCGGUUGGGGAUGGACUCGCGGCUUAUCAGCUUGUUGGUGGGGUAGUGGCUUACCAAGGCUUUGACGGGUAGCCGGCCUGAGAGGGUGACCGGCCACAUUGGGACUGAGAUACGGCCCAGACUCCUACGGGAGGCAACAGUGGGGAAUAUUGCACAAUGGGCGGAAGCCUGAUGCAGCAACGCCGCGUGCGGGAUGACGGCCUUCGGGUUGUAUACCGCUUUCGCCUGUGACGAAGCGUAAGUGACGGUAAUGGGUAAAGAAGCACCGGCUAACUACGU
rnacentral:rRNA from 1 species